ncrna:Equus caballus (horse) microRNA eca-mir-8908m precursor
UGUGUGCAGGGCCCUGCCCAGAAUGGUGCUGACUACGUAGAUUAAGUGUAGUCAGUGCCAUCUGGGUAGAGCGAUGCUCAACAU